AACAAAGACUCCUGUGUCAUCAUAAGAGCGCUGGGUGCUUGGAGGAACAAAAUCAAGGUGGCUGUAUUUUAUAAGCUGACAAAGUAGGAAUCAGCAGAGGGCAGUGUCUACAGGCCUAAGGUCCUUUGCAUCUAUUUAAAACAGUUUCCAGUUCUACUUGGUGGGACCAUCAGCCUAGUUCCUGACCUUUCCACCCUGAGUUGUUGCUGGAACACUCUCACCCCUGUUUGGACUUGUAACUUUCCCUGAACUGUCAAAGUUGAUAACUAGGGACCAUGAUGCUGUAGAAAGAACACCGAGUGGAGGCUCACAGA